rnacentral:rRNA from 1 species
GUAGGUGGCAAGCGUUGUCCGGAAUUAUUGGGCGUAAAGCGCGCGCAGGCGGUUCUUUAAGUCUGAUGUGAAAGCCCACGGCUCAACCGUGGAGGGUCAUUGGAAACUGGAGAACUUGAGUACAGAAGAGGAAAGCGGAAUUCCACGUGUAGCGGUGAAAUGCGUAGAGACGUGGAGGAACACCAGUGGCGAAGGCGGCUUUCUGGUCUGUAACUGACGCUGAGGCGCGAAAGCGUGGGGAGCAAACAGGAUUAGAUACCCUGGUAGUCCACGCCGUAAACGAUGAGUGCUAAGUGUUAGGGGGUUUCCCGCCCCCUUAGUGCUGCAGCUAACGCAUUAAGCACUCCGCCUGGGGAGUACGGCCGCAAGGCUG